GCACUGAAGAAGAGUCUCAAACUAGGACGAAACGGCUGUCCAGUAC
rnacentral:hammerhead_ribozyme from 1 species